ACCUUUUUAUGUUUCUUUUUAGAUAUGAACAGUGAUGGCGCCCAUUUCCCUUCCAAGUUCUUUGGUAGACUGUGGAUUGAAUGAAUCUCCAUCUCCGUCCCCGUCGUGCUGUGCGACACCAAGACUUCUUACUACAUCUGUGUUCUGAUUAGUGGCCAAAUAAAUGACACUCGGAACUUCACCUAAGGUACAGUAAGCUGUUGCAGUAGCAUGGCACCUGCUUUCUUUCAACAGAGAAACUUCAACAAACAGCACAGUCCUUGACACGCUGGAUUGGUUUGAUGAUCCUCCCUGAAACAGGUAUGUGAAACCUUCAGUGUCUAUUCACCUGCCUGCGUGCUCAUAUAGGCUUUGGAUUGUGGAUUACAUCC
rnacentral:lncRNA from 1 species